CAUUCUCAGGUAUAAUUAAAAAGAAAGCUUUUAUUCUUUGCAAAGAAGGUCAGACAGUCAUACAGCAACAGUGAGUUCCUGCAGAGUGAAACCAACCCAGGAAGAGGGCAGUCCUCCACCUUAUAUCCCUUUGCUGCGUCAAGGUUACAAAGUCUUAGCAGCUGUAAAUUUCCACACAUAACAAGGAAUACUCUCUAUGGGCUGUUUCUCACACAUUUAGGACUUAGGUGACCCCCUCAGGUCAUUCUCAGACAUCUGUUUUCCCCCCAGGUGUCAUCCAUCUGAACCCACACAGCAA